UGAGCAACCUGCCCUUAGCUUUGGGAUAACCCUCGGAAAACGGGGGCUAAUACCGAAUGUUCACUGCCGGGCGCAUGUUUGGUGGUGGAAAGUUUUUCGGCUGGGGAUGGGCUCGCGGCCUAUCAGCUUGUUGGUGAGGUAACGGCUCACCAAGGCUUCGACGGGUAGCCGGCCUGAGAGGGCGACCGGCCACACUGGGACUGAGAUACGGCCCAGACUCCUACGGGAGGCA
rnacentral:rRNA from 1 species